CACAGUGUAGCUUAAACAACAAAGCAUCUGGCCUACACCCAGAAGAUUCCACGACCCAAUGGACACUAUGA
rnacentral:tRNA from 1 species